CUUCCGGAAAGGGGACCUGCGGAAGGAUCAUUACCUAGAGUUGCGGGCUUUGCCUGCCAUCUCUUACCCAUGUCUUUUGAGUACCUUCGUUUCCUCGGCGGGUUCGCCCGCCGGUUGGACAACACUUAAACCCUUUGUAAUUGAAAUCAGCGUCUGAAAAAACUUUAAUAGUUACAACUUUCAACAACGGAUCUCUUGGUUCUGGCAUCGAUGAAGAACGCAGCGAAAUGCGAUAAGUAGUGUGAAUUGCAGAAUUCAGUGAAUCAUCGAAUCUUUGAACGCACAUUGCGCCCCUUGGUAUUCCAUGGGGCAUGCCUGUUCGAGCGUCAUUUGUACCUUCAAGCUCUGCUUGGUGUUGGGUGUUUGUCUCGCCUCUGCGCGCAGACUCGCCUCAAAGCAAUUGGCAGCCGGCGUAUUGAUUUCGGAGCGCAGUACAUCUCGCGCUUUGCACUCAUAACGACGACGUCCAAAAAGUACAUUUUUUACACUCUUGACCUCGGAUCAGGUAGGGAUACCCGCUGAACUUAAGCAUAUCAAUAAGCGGAGGAA
rnacentral:rRNA from 1 species